rnacentral:rRNA from 1 species
AACGAAUGCUGGCGGCAGGCCUAACACAUGCAAGUCGAACGCCCCGCAAGGGGAGUGGCCGACGGGUGAGUAACACGUCGGAACCCUCCCUAUAGUACGGAAUAGCCCAGGGAAACUUGGAUUAAUACCGGACACGCCCGAAAGGGGAAAGAAUUUCGCUAUAGGAUGGGCCCGCGUAGGAUUAGCUAGUUGGUGAGGUAAUGGCUCACCAAGGCGACGAUCCUUAGCUGGUUUGAGAGAACGACCAGCCACACUGGGACUGAGACACGGCCCAGACUCCUCCGGGAGGCAGCAGUGGGGAAUCUUGGACAAUGCGCGCAAGCCUGAUCCAGCCAUGCCGCGUGAGUGAUGAAGGCCUUAGGGUUGUAAAGCUCUUUUGGCGGGGACGAUAAUGACGGUACCCGCAGAAUAAGUCCCGGCUAACUUCGUG